rnacentral:rRNA from 1 species
GACGAACGCUGGCGGCGUGCUUAACACAUGCAAGUCGAACGGAAAGGCCUCUUUCGGGGGGUACUCGAGUGGCGAACGGGUGAGUAACACGUGAGUAACCUGCCCUUGACUUUGGGAUAACUUCAGGAAACUGGGGCUAAUACCGGAUAGGAGCUCCUGCUGCAUGGUGGGGGUUGGAAAGUUUCGGCGGUUGGGGAUGGACUCGCGGCUUAUCAGCUUGUUGGUGGGGUAGUGGCUUACCAAGGCUUUGACGGGUAGCCGGCCUGUGAGGGUGACCGGCCACAUUGGGACUGAGAUACGGCCCAGACUCCUACGGGAGGCAGCAGUGGGGAAUAUUGCACAAUGGGUGGAAGCCUGAUGCAGCAACGCCGUGUGCGGGAUGACGGCCUUCGGGUUGUAAACCGCUUUCGCUCAUGACGAAGCUUUGUGUGACGGUAGUGGGUAAAGAAGCACCGGCUAACUACGUG